rnacentral:rRNA from 1 species
GAUGAACGCUGGCGGCGUGCCUAAUACAUGCGAGUCGAGCGAACAGAUAAGGAGCUUGCUCCUUUGACGUUAGCGGCGGACGGGUGAGUAACACGUGGGUAACCUACCUAUAAGACUGGAAUAACUCCGGGAAACCGGGGCUAAUGCCGGAUAACAUUUAGAACCGCAUGGUUCUAAAGUGAAAGAUGGUUUUGCUAUCACUUAUAGAUGGACCCGCGCCGUAUUAGCUAGUUGGUAAGGUAACGGCUUACCAAGGCAACGAUACGUAGCCGACCUGAGAGGGUGAUCGGCCACACUGGAACUGAGACACGGUCCAGACUCCUACGGGAGGCAGCAGUAGGGAAUCUUCCGCAAUGGGCGAAAGCCUGACGGAGCAACGCCGCGUGAGUGAUGAAGGUCUUCGGAUCGUAAAACUCUGUUAUUAGGGAAGAACAAAUGUGUAAGUAACUGUGCACGUCUUGACGGUACCUAAUCAGAAAGCCACGGCUAACUACGU